AUCACUCUGUUCACCACGUCCACGUACUUAUAUGUUGACACAUUUUCUGCACAAUGUGGUCGGGGUUUUAAUCUCCGUGGUUUUAUGAGCUUUCUUUGCUGAUUGGCCUUUUUUCUGCAAUUAAAGUAAAAAAGCGUAAUUUGUUUUCUCCGGUGCUCUAAGUUCAAUCGAAGAUGGCGUCGAAACGGCAAGCUCUCCGCGAGCAUGUUGCACGGAACGCCUAACGUGCCGAAAGAAAAGAACUCGACCAAUUUGCCCCAGUGCCGGCCUAUUGAGGAUUUUUUUUCGGUUCCCUUAGUGACCUAGUGUACAAAAAUAAUUGCGUGCCAAGGAUACGAAGCAGAUGACCACGAGGAUCCGUAAUUGAAUCCGAAACAUGGACGUUAGUGCCGUCCAGCUCUCUUGUAAGAGCAUCGCGACUAAGUUGCGUCGUACGGCUGAUCAGGGCCCCUUCUCCAAUAUUCUUUGAAGUUUUUUUUUUAAGAAUAAAAAUUAUGUUUUUAAUCCAGCUUUUUACACAAGCUUGCUAUAAACUUUGAAUCACCCCUUUUUUGACAUUUCUUGCCUACACUCUGAUAUGUUUAUGGUUCAAUGGAAGCAAGCUUUGCGAUCUUGAAAAUUGUUCAUGUUGAUGCAUAGGAACGUCAAAAAAUAUAUUCUUGAUAUCAGUAAACGAAAAUCUUAAAAUAUAGGUAUCCUUUGUUUUCUGUGUUUAUUACUUUUUGCCAUUUUAGGUUAAUGAUAUGCGAUCAUCACAGGUUCUGAACUGAACCACUUUAAUAAGUGUUAUGAACUAUACAGAAAAUUUGACGCCAAAAUAAAUGGAGCUGCCCAUAAGCGACGAAGAUAAUGAUUUGUAGGAUGUUUGAAAAUUUAUUUGGAAUGUAAUUUUCGAUUUAUCCACUUUCUCCGUGAAGUUUACUGGAUGUUAUAAAAUACAUAACGGCCGACUUGGGUUUGGAUAUAUCAGAUUAUCCGAGCCAAUAACGAUAGUUUUUCAUAUUCUUUCGAAUUCCGUUAUCUCCAUUAAUUUAAUCACAAAACGCGUUUCUUGUGUGGAU